GACGUAGGAUGCAAGCGUUGUCCGGAAUUAUUGGGCGUAAAGAGUUCGUAGGUGGUUUGCUAAGUCUGAUGUUAAAUACUGGAGCUCAACUUCGGGACUGCAUUGGAUACUGGCAGACUUGAGUGUGGUAGAGGCAAUCGGAAUUUCAGGUGUAGCGGUGAAAUGCGUAGAUAUCUGGAAGAACACCGGUGGCGCAAGCGGAUUGCUGGGCCAUAACUGACACUGAGGAACGAAAGCUAGGGUAGCGAAUGGG
rnacentral:rRNA from 1 species